UGGGAAAACUGAACCACAGCAAGAAUCCACAAUGCUCCCAUGACCAUGCAAAAACAUUGAAAGAAGACAUGAUAAAUAUGUUCCAGUCCUUGAGCCUCGUUCCAAACAUUGGACAUUACUGAGUAUCUUCUUCCCCUUUUCUCUAGCCUCCCAAGAGUACUGACAAGAAACCACAUCCUGGGAUAAGAUCAGAAAUACAUCUGCUAAGAAGCCAUAACCUAUGGACAUUUUCAUUCCUACCCCCCGCCCCGCCCCAAACAGAAAUCCCUAUGAGUCAAAGUAGAUGAUGAUGUGCAUCAUAGCCUCCCAGCAGCACAAUUAAUCAGAAAGCUCUCAGGGGAGUAGUACAACAGCAUUUUCACUAUCAAUUAGAAAUACUGAUGAGAACCAGGAAGGACAGCUCCCUUAACUUGGCAGGAUCAGGACAAGACUGGUUACAGAGGCUAAGUCCUGAGUAGGCUCUCUCUCAGCCACACGGCCCUUCUCUCUUCUUAGGGAUAAUUUUGUCAGGUCCUUAGGAAUGAGGGAAUCAUGUCUAUACCAAGGAAGUCACAUGAGUCACUUUUCCACUUCCCAUCUCCAUUCAGAGAUUAUCUCCCAUUUGUCAGGGAAGACAUUCUAUGACCUUCUUAACAAUUUAUCCCACUGAGGAAUCCUUUUAUGACUGCAUGUUAUUAGGUAAUAGAAGCCCUCACCAAGUUCCCCCGAACAUGUACUGUCUAAUCUCGUACUUGGCAGAGACAGGCGCCGAUCACUAGUAAUGCAUUCUCCCCCUUCAUUGUGUAGGACUGUCAUUGAGACAUGGCUUCCUACCAAGGGCCUCUAUUUUCCAGACCCCUUGAAGUCAGAGUGGUCAUAAAACCAGGUUCUGGACCAUUGAACAUGAAAGAAAGUGACGUGCAUCUAUCUCCUCCCAGGCUUGGCACCCAAAAACCUUCCAGGUGUCUUCCCCCUCCCAUGUCUUUUCCCCUUUGUACUCACUGGAAUGUUAGAGAUUCCCAGGGCAACCUUAGAAGUCACAUAUUAUAAAUGGCAGACUUCUGGAUUGACAACGUGGAGGGUCACCCUACCAACUUUCUCCCCAUCCACUAUGAGAGUGAGAAAAAAAGUGUUUGAGAAAUGUACAUUUUUAGGUCUAUGUGAUUUGAUAGUUAAUCUAAUACAUAUACAUUUCCUGGGCAUUAGUUGUUAGCUAUAGUGAGAGGUUUAUAGGAUAUGUGAUUGAAUAUGCCAAGACAGGAUUCUCCAUUCACCUCUACAGAAGAUAAAGCAAAAUGAUCAGACCUGUCAGAAUUUGCGGGGUUAAUGUAGAAAGGAACAGAAUCUUUUCCUCAGCCACUUGGCUAGUUGGCCAAUUCAGGAUCUUAAUUUAUUAGAUUCUUACUUAUUAAAAUGCAUGACAAUGUACCACAAACUAUUGAUUUUACCUUAAUUUCAUAGCUGAA
rnacentral:lncRNA from 1 species